AAAACGACUCUCGGCAACGGAUAUCUCGGCUCUUACAUCGAUGAAGAACGUAGCGAAAUGCGAUACUUGGUGUGAAUUGCAGAAUCCCGUGAACCAUCGAGUCUUUGAACGCAAGUUGCGCCCAAAGCCAUUAGGCCGAGGGCACGCCUGCCUGGGUGUCACAC
rnacentral:rRNA from 1 species